CCCUUAGAUGUUCUGGGCCGCACGCGCGCUACACUGACUGGUGCAACAAGUGUCGCUCCUUGGCCGAUAGGCCUGGGCAAUCUUUGAACGCCAGUCGUGAUGGGGAUAGAUUCUUGCAAUUUUUGAUCUUCAACGAGGAAUUCCUAGUAAACGCGAGUCAUCAACUCGCAUUGAUUACGUCCCUGCCCUUUGUACACACCGCCCGUCGCUCCUACCGAUUGAAUGGUCCGGUGAAGCGUUCGGACCGUGGCCUUUGGACGGUUCGCCGUCUGUUGGCUGCGGGAAGUUCGUUAAACCUUAUCAUUUAGAGGAAGGAGAAGUCGUAACA
rnacentral:rRNA from 1 species